GGCUCGGAAGUGGAUGGCCCACACCUGCAUUCUAUUAGAGUGAAUACUGAGGUUAGAAGCAGGAGCUGCCUGUUCGAAUCAGGCCCGAGCCA